rnacentral:lncRNA from 1 species
UAGUUUUUACAGGAAAGAAAAGUGUAUAUCGGUUGGGACAAGAAAGAGAAGAAAAUGCCUCAUCAUUCAUGAGUAGUAUUUUGAAUUCCCUUCUUUUCAAUAAUUACUUCGCGGGAAUAGCAUUGAAUCUCGUGUCCUCUUGAGUUCCACUGGUGUAUUACAAUGUCUAAAAUAUGUUGUGUCUCUGUAUGUUGGACAGGAUAUAAGAAUGAAGUGAAGCAUUCAGGGGUUAUUCUUCAUGUAUUCCCGAAGAAGGAUGAUCUUUUGUCAUGAAUGAACUCAAGCAAUUCCACGAUCGAAUUGAAAACUCUAUCUAGGGAAUGACGACAUCGUCCUUCUACAUGGGACACUAGAAACAAUUAUGUAUUUCUUCAUCUAUGACAUUGAGGGGACAAAAACAUAAACAAAGGGAUAGAUAUCAUGCUUACUUAUGCAACUCCAUAGUCCUAUUUUUCAAUUCUUAACUCAACUCUUCGGUUUUUUGUUAAUUUAAGGUAUUCAUUUAAAGUAACGCUUUUAAUUUUCAGCAAUGGCUCUUAUUUGAAAAAGGGCAUCGACAUCUUUGAAUAAACUUAUAUAGAGCGAAAGAAUACUGAAAUUACCAUCUAUUCAGUGGUUAACGAAGCUUUCAAACGGCUUUACAGUCGAUACAGGACUAAUUCCUCAACCCAUAAAAUAUUUAGAACAAAUAAUAAAGAAUCUCAACGAUAAAGAAAUAAUUGUAACCAUCAUUAUGGAAGAAGUAUAUUGUGCAAAAGUUUGAGUAUACAGGAGGGAAAUUUUACCGGAUCAGACAUGGAGGGGAUACACCAACCAAGAUUUUGCUUUGUGUGAUGAUCAAGAGCUUAACUAACAAAUAUGAAGGCACUAUUGCAUGGCACCUUCGACAAAAUUAGACUCUAAAAUUCUGAGAAAAUUAUUCUACCAAGUUGUUGAAGUAAUUACACCUGUUGGUAUUGAGCCAGUUGCAUCAGUACUUGAUGGGAUAUUCAGCAAACCGAAAAUUCUACACUCAAGAGCUAUGCAACAACACAUUGGAUAUGCAUACUGUCAACCAUUGCGACAGUGGGAAAAAGUUAUUUUUGUUAUUUGAUUCAGUUUAUGUAUUUAAGUGCAUAUGCAACAACUUACUGGAAAGAAAGUUUUUGAAUUAUCCUUCGUUUGUGGGUGAAGAAAUGAUUGCUGAAUUUAUCCAUAUAAAAAAAUUAUAUCAUCUCGAGCAAACAAAACCUGUGAAGUAUGCACACAAAUUGAAUGACAAAGUUCUUAACCCUCAUCCGAUUGAAAAAAACCAACGUCAAGCUAGAUGCUUUGUUCCAUGAAAGUACCAUUUAUGGUCUUGAAUUUUAUGCAAACAAUGGUUACCCUGAAUUCCAUACAACAGCAAACUUUUUGAAGCUUAUUAGGCACUGGUGGAAUUUAUUCAACGUUAAAUCUUCUACUACAGUCCUAAAAAAAGAAACAUCUGAAUCGUGAACCCAUAACACCGUUUAAUUUUGAACAAAAGAAUGCUUUUUGCAAAAAAAAAUAUUAAUUGGUUGGAGAAUUUUCGAACAAAAUCAUCAAAAGAAAAUUGUUUUAGUGCAGAGACAUUUUUCACAUUAAUCCAAACAACUUCUGCUAUGAUGGACUUGACUCAAUAUCUAAUUUCCAAUAAAAGUUUUAGUUAUGUUUUAACUGGACAAAUUCAGUCAGACCCCUUGCAUCGAAAGUUUGGUUUUUGUCGAUAUAGUAGUCGAUGCAACUAUUACACAAGUGUGAGACAGUUCCUUGAAACAGAAAAAUCUGUACAAUUAUCUUCACUUAUCAAGUUCAGCAAAAUGAGGUUGGUGGACAUUCGUGAACAUUUUGUUCAGAAAUUUGAGGAUGAUCUUUUUACAGCUGCAGAUCUUCUUCUGGAAAACUUAAGAUAUUGUGAAAAAUCUAUUUUGUCCAUAGUUAAUUGUUCCUUUUGUAAACUUUACUUAAUAAGUGAAGAUGACAACUCGCAAAGUAAUCUUUCAAUGUUAUCUCUAUUUGACGAAAUCGAUAACCACACCCUUGAAUCACAUAAGGAUUUUAUCAAAAAUAUAUCAAGAGGAUCUUUAAUAGAAACAUCAGACAAACUAUUUAUACUGAUUCAGGAAGCAGCAAAAAAAAAAGUAUUUGGUAUAAGGUAAAGAAGUUGAUAACUGAGAAGAAAUAAGCUCUAUGAUAUUAAUUUGGCUUUGAAAUAUAGAUUUUUUUAAUGAUAA